AUGGCUCAAUGGUAGAGCACCUGCCUAGCAAGCAGGAUACUAAAUUCAAAUCUCAGU
rnacentral:tRNA from 1 species